GACGAACGCUGGCGGCGUGCCUCAGACAUGCAAGUCGAACGCGAAAGGUUCCUUCGGGAACCCGGUAGAGUGGCGCACGGGUGAGUAACACGUGGGUAAUUUGCCUUCGGGUGGGGAAUAACAGUCGGAAACGGCUGCUAAUACCGCAUAAUGCAGCGGCAUCAUAAGAUGACAGUUGUUAAAGCGGGGGAUCGUAAGACCUCGCGCCUGAAGAGAAGCCCGCGGCGGAUUAGGUAGUUGGUGAGGUAAUGGCUCACCAAGCCCGCGAUCCGUAACCGGCCUGAGAGGGCGGUCGGUCACACUGACACUGACAUACGGGUCAGACUCCUACGGGAGGCAGCAGUCGGGAAUUUUGGGCAAUGGGCGCAAGCCUGACCCAGCAACGCCGCGUGAAGGAUGAAGCAUUUCGGUGUGUAAACUUCACAAGAAUGGGAAGAAUAAGUUAAGGCGAAUACCCUUGACGAUGACGGUACUAUUUGUAAGCUCCGGCUAACUCCGUGCCAGCAGCCG
rnacentral:rRNA from 1 species